GGGGAUAUGGCUUAGUGGUAGAGCACAUGCUUAGCAUUUACAAGGUCCUGGGUCCAAUCUCCAGUACCUCCA
rfam:Camelus ferus unplaced genomic scaffold scaffold2519, whole genome shotgun sequence.